GGCCUCGUGGCUAAGCUGGUAGAGCAUACGCGCUCAAAGCGUAGGCGGCCUCCAUGCGUGGGUUCGAAUCCCACCGAGGCUA
rnacentral:tRNA from 1 species